UCCAUAAUGUUAGAAUCUGGAGAAGUCAC
rnacentral:piRNA from 1 species